CCUGGCUCAACGAAUAAGUAUCGCAAUACAGCGAGGAAAUGCUGCCAGCAUUAAAGCCUAAAUCUGGCUUGCGAGCUCUGCUAUUAGAGGCUGAAAGAGGUACUGGGAUAAGCUAAUACUGUCCUAGCCAGUAAAUUUAUCUGGAGAGUCCAGAUGGUCCAAAAAUGUCUGUCUUUAAUUAUAACAAAAGUAACGGUGCACUCCAAUUGCCCGAAGCCCGACAGAACAAGGUAGAAGAUCCUAGUAAAGCAUUGCCAUUCGCGCAGGAGAAGGUGAUCUCACUUCCCAGUGUCUCGCACCGGUAUAUCCCUGAGUCCUCCUUCUCCGCGUUCAUGAUGCUGAAACGGUAUUCCAGCUGACUAUCUCGACCUGGGUCUGUGCUCCAGCCCUCCGUAUAUUUCCUCUCUGAACUAGAAAAUCAUUAAUUUAUUAACGAGCGUAUAACUUUAACUCCCCUAAAUCAUAAGUUAUAUUAUUUUUAUAAUGACCCAUAUAACAACUGUAGAAUUGGUAAUGUAUGGUGUUGUUCAUAAAUAAAAUAAUGUUUUAACAAAUCAUUA